rnacentral:misc_RNA from 1 species
GGCUGACCAUCAAAAACCUAAACCCACCGACAAUUUCUCUUCACCGCCGUCAACAAAUCCACCUAAAACCUCCGGCGGAUCAUCUAACGGUGGAUUAUCCGGCGCUCCGCACUUUCCAAACCCGCCGGAUCGUACGAAUCCGGACGCGGCGACACUGAGAGAGCAAUGGAGGUUCGCUAUCAAGCAGUACAGCAAAUGGUAUUCCCACGCUUGGGGAACUGCAAUUUUAGCUGGGCUUUCAUUUUACGCCCUUGGUUGGAUUAUCAAAGGCUCUAAUCCUUUGCCCUCUUUUAAGCACGAAGAGUCGGAUGCUAAAAAUGCUUCUUCGUCUUCGUCUUCUGAUGAUGCUGGUGCUGUUCCAGAGGUUAAGAGAAGUUGAUGAUG